GGCCUAGUGGCCUAAUGGUUAAGGCGCCACAUUUCGGCUGUGGAGAUUGGGAGUUCGAGUCUUCCCUGGGUCG